UAGGGAGUAGUAUAGUGGAAGUACGCGGGGUUUUGAGCCCCUUGGUGCAGGUUCGGAUCCUGUUUCUCUA
rnacentral:tRNA from 1 species